UACGAAGGGUGCAAGCGUUAAUCGGAAUUACUGGGCGUAAAGGGUGCGUAGGCGGUUGUUUAAGUCUGCCGUGAAAUCCCCGGGCUCAACCUGGGAAUUGCAGUGGAUACUGGGCGACUAGAGUGUGGUAGAGGGUAGUGGAAUUCCCGGUGUAGCAGUGAAAUGCGUAGAGAUCGGGAGGAACAUCCAUGGCGAAGGCAGCUACCUGGACCAACACUGACACUGAGGCACGAAAGCGUGGGGAGCAAACAGG
rnacentral:rRNA from 1 species